rnacentral:ncRNA from 1 species
UGUCGGGGAGCUUUCAUUAGGUAGGAAGCUGAGACUGUUAUGCUUGCUGUACACAUUGGUGACAUCUUAUGUGAAAGGCUGAAUACAGGACCCGUUGAACCUGAUUUGGUUAACACCAACGUAGGGAACAGAGU